rnacentral:rRNA from 1 species
CCUGACUGCUAUCGGAUUGAUACUAAGCCAUGCGAGUCUUUGUAGUAAUACAAGGCAUACGGCUCAGUAACGCGUAGUCAACCUACCCUAUGGACAAGAAUAAUCUCGGGAAACUGAGCAUAAUUCUUGAUAGAUCAUAAUGCCUGGAAUGGUUUAUGGUUAAAAUGAUUCGUCGCCAUAGGAUGGGACUGCGGCCUAUCAGCUUGUUGGUGAGGUAAUGGCCCACCAAGGCGAUAACAGGUACGGGCUCUGAGAGGAGAAGCCCGGAGAUGGGUACUGAGACAAGGACCCAGGCCCUAUGGGGCGCAGCAGGCGAGAAAACUUUGCAAUGUGCGAAAGCACGACAAGGUUAGUCCGAGUGAUUUCUGCUAAAGAGAUCUUUUGCUAGUUAUAAAACCACUAGUGAAUAAGGGGUGAGCAAGUUCUGGUGUCAGCCGCCGCGGUAAAACCAGCACCUCAAGUGGUCAGGAUGAUUAUUGGGCCUAAAGCAUCCGUAGCCGGCUCUGUAAGUUUUCGGUUAAAUCUAUGCGCUCAACGUAUGGGCUGCCGAAAAUACUGCAGAGAUAGGGAGUGGGAGAGGUAGACGGUACUCGGUAGGAAGGGGUAAAAUCCUUUGAUCUAUCGAUGACCACCUGUGGCGAAGGCGGUCUACCAGAACACGUUCGACGGUGAGGGAUGAAAGCUGGGGGAGCAAACCGGAUUAGAUACCCGGGUAGUCCCAGCUGUAAACGAUGCAGACUCGAUGAUGCAUUGGCAUAUAGCCAGUGCAGUGUCGCAGGGAAGCCGUUAAGUCUGCCGCCUGGGAAGUACGUACGCAAGUAUGAAACUUAAAGGAAUUGGCGGAGGAGCACCACAAGGGGUGAAGCCUGCGGUUC